rnacentral:rRNA from 1 species
CCUUUACUGACGCUAAAGCUCGAAGGUGCGGGUAUCGAACAGGAUUAGAUACCCUGGUAGUCCGCACGGUAAACGAUGGAUGCCCGCUGUUGGCGAUAUAGUGUCAGCGGCCAAGCGAAAGCGUUAAGCAUCCCACCUGGGGAGUACGCCGGCAACGGUGAAACUCAAAGGAAUUGACGGGGGCCCGCACAAGCGGAGGAACAUGUGGUUUAAUUCGAUGAUACGCGAGGAACCUUACCCGGGCUUGAACUGCAGGAGAAGGAAACAGAGAUGUUGACGCCCUUCGAGGCUCCUGUGGAGGUGCUGCAUGGUUGUCGUCAGCUCGUGCCGUGAGGUGUCGGCUUAAGUGCCAUAACGAGCGCAACCCUUUUCGUCAGUUGCCAUCAGGUGAUGCUGGGCACUCUGGCGAUACUGCCACCGUAAGGUGUGAGGAAGGUGGGGAUGACGUCAAAUCAGCACGGCCCUUACGUCCGGGGCUACACACGUGUUACAAUGGGGAGUACAGAGAGUUGGUUGUACGCAAGUACGGUCUAAUCAUGAAAGCUCUCCUCAGUUCGGAUUGGGGUCUGCAACCCGACCCCAUGAAGCUGGAUUCGCUAG